rnacentral:rRNA from 1 species
GGAUGAACGCUGGCGGCGUGCCUAACACAUGCAAGUCGAACGCAAAGCUCUGGAUUCGUCUGGGGCGGAGAGUGGCGCACGGGUGAGUAACACAUGGCUGACCUACCCUUCAGAGGGGGACAACCACUGGAAACGGUGGCUAAUACCCCAUACGGUCAUCUGGAUUGGAAGCAGAUGACGAAAGCUCCGGCGCUGAAGGAUGGGGCUGUGACCCAUCAGCUAGUUGGUAGGGUAAAAGCCUACCAAGGCAAGGACGGGUAGGGGGCCUGAGAGGGCGACCCCCCACACGGGCACUGAGACACGGGCCCGACUCCUACGGGAGGCAGCAGUGAGGAAUAUUGCCCAAUGGACGCAAGUCUGAGGCAGCAACGCCGCGUGCGGGAUGACGGCCUUCGGGUUGUAAACCGCUUUUAGAGGGGAAGAGGAAGGACGGUACCCUCUGAAUAAGUCUCGGCUAACUACGUGCCAGCAGCCGCGGUAAAACGUAGGAGGCAAGCGUUAUCCGGAUUUACUGGUGUAAAGCGCGUGCAGGCGGUUUCGUAAGUCAUGCGUGAAAGCGCUCGGCUCAACCGGGCGAGGUCGUGUGAAACUGCGGAACUUGAGGUAGGUAGAGGCGUGUGGAAUUCCGGGUGUAGUGGUGAAAUGCGUAGAUAUCCGGAGGAACACCAGUGGCGAAGGCGACACGCUGGACCUGACCUGACGCUCAGACGCGAAAGCAUGGGUAGCGAACGGGAUUAGAAACCCCGGUAGUCCAUGCCGUAAACGAUGUGUACUAGGUGUUGCGACGUCAAGUGGCAGUGCCGAAGCUAACGUGAUAAGUACACCACCUGGGGACUACGGCCGCAAGGUUAAAACUCAAAGGAAUUGACGGGGGCCCGCACAAGCAGCGGAGCGUGUGGUUUAAUUCGAGGCUACACGAAGAACCUUACCUGGGCUUGACAUGAUGGUGGUAGGGAACCGAAAGGGGACCGACCUUCGGGAGCCAUCACAGGUGCUGCAUGGCUGUCGUCAGCUCGUGUCGUGAGAUGUCCGGUUAAGUCCGGUAACGAGCGCAACCCGCGUCGUUAGUUACAAGUGUCUAACGAGACUGCCCGUUCAACGCGGGAGGAAGGUGCGGAUGACGUCAAGUCAGCAUGGCCUUUAUGUCCAGGGCUACACACACGCUACAAUGGCCGACACAAUAGGUUGCCAACCCGCGAGGGGGAGCUAAUCCAACAAAGUCGGUCUCAGUUCGGAUUGUAGGCUGCAACUCGCCUGCAUGAAGUCGGAGUUGCUAGUAACCGCAGGUCAGCUAUACUGCGGUGAAUACGUUCCCGGGCCUUGUAUACACCGCCCGUCACGUCACGGAAGCUGGUCAUGCCUGAAGUCGGUGGGCUAACCUAACGGAGGCAACCGCCUAAGGCAGGGCUGGUGACCGGGACGAAGUCGUAACAAGGUA